rnacentral:tRNA from 1 species
UCCCUGGUGGCCUAGAGGAUAAAGACUCAGCAUUAUCACUGCUGUGGCUCGGGUUCAAUCCCUGGCCAGUGAA